rnacentral:rRNA from 1 species
CUUUCUUUGCUGGCGACCGGCGCACGGGUGAGUAACACGUAUCCAACCUGCCCUUUACUCGGGGAUAGCCUUUCGAAAGAAAGAUUAAUACCCGAUAGCAUAAUGAUUCCGCAUGGUUUCAUUAUUAAAGGAUUCCGUAAAGGAUGGGGAUGCGUUCCAUUAGGUUGCUGGUGAGGUAACGGCCCACCAAGCCUUCGAUGGAUAGGGGUUCUGAGAGGAAGGUCCCCCACAUUGGAACUGAGACACGGUCCAA